rnacentral:lncRNA from 1 species
AGAAUUUCAACCGUUAUUGGGAUGAGUAGGCAGCACACCAGACUCAUCCAUAUUAGUCUACGGAGUACUUGGGUUCCGAUCAUUUGUUUUAUCAUACAUUUUUACCGUUGUACUAACGUAUCCAAUUUGGGUGUGAGCGUUGAUAGUGAGAUCACCGCGUUCUAUACCAAUUCCGAAACUGAACAUUUUCCUUUUCCGAUGGUUUUUGUCGUACUUCGCUUCAUUUGUAGUCUCAGGUUUUGCGUGUAAACAUCCCAUUUUAUAUAUUCUUCUUUUUACUUUUCGCUGACUUUGGUUUUUCUCCCUUCACAGUUUUUGUUGACGGUCCCGCUUUGCCUUCCUUACACGACGUAACGUACUUGAUGUUGGUUGUCUUGGAUUUAACGUAACCGAGAUUCAGCCCACCUUUACUGAGUUUUAUAUCGACGUUGACGGUCUUGUCCCUUUUUAAAUUUUCCUUAACUCUGAUUCUGUCGC